UGCCUCAUUCUCAGUAGCUGCUACAGCUACCCAGACAAGGUAAUGUGGCCACAUUGACCCACGGGUCAUGCUUCCAUCACAGUAGGCAUGUAGCUGUGGUGACAAUGGGACCUGUGACAUGU